rnacentral:sRNA from 1 species
UCCACUAGCUAAUCAUAUCCAUUGGCAUA